CUACGGGUGGCUCCAGUGGGGAAUAUUGGACAAUGGGGGAAACCCUGAUCCAGCAAUGCCGCGUGUGUGAAGAAGGCCUGCGGGUUGUAAAGCACUUUCGGUUGGGAGGACUGCUUCUAGCACUAAUAUUGUUGGAAGUUGACGUUACCUUCAGAAGAAGCACCGGCUAACUCCGUGCCAGCAGCCGCGGUAAUACGGAGGGUGCACGCGUUAAUCGGAAUUACUGGGCGUAAAGCGCGCGUAGGCGGCUAGAUCAGUCGGGUGUGAAAGCCCCGGGCUUAACCUGGGAACUGCAUCCGAUACUGGCUAGCUUGAGUACAGGAGAGGAGAGUGGAAUUCCACAUGUAGCGGUGAAAUGCGUAGAUAUGUGGAGGAACACCAAUGGCGAAGGCAGCUCUCUGGCCUGAAACUGACGCUGAGGUGCGAAAGCGUGGGGAGCAAACAGGAUUAGAUACCCGGGUAGUC
rnacentral:rRNA from 1 species